CAUCGUGAGGUGCAGGCGAGAAGAAGGGAUAGCGAAAUCGUAGCCUGACGGACAGAAACUCGGUACGAAGGCGUAAUAGGCGGAUAAGUUGACGCAAAGCAACGAAGUCCCAAAGGUAACCGUAAACCUAUUAUGUAAACCGAGCAGGUAGACGAAGAAAGAGU
rnacentral:ncRNA from 1 species